UUCCUCAAACAAAAUUCAAAAGAAACAUACCUGGAGAAAUUAUAAUGUCAAUGUAUCAGUGAACAAAUCCAGACAUUUUCAAAAUAUACCCAUUUUACCUAGGUCUUUUACUUGCCGUCGAAUUUAAAGUUUUAUUCAAAAUCGUUUUAAAUGGAUAUAAAUCAAAACAAAAAUGCAGUUUAGAAAAAUCAUUAUAAUCCCACAUCUCAGGCCCCCUGAGUGCUUCUACUGAUUAGUGAUACUUAAUCAAUAACAGAUGUUCAAAACAUUUAUUAAAACCUUUUACUCCAUUAAAUUAAUGCUCUGAAAAUGGCCAGCACAAUAAUAUUUUAAUUCCUAUAAUUAUUUCCCAAGUUAAUUAACCAAGUAUGCUUCACUCUCGCUAUAAAUUUGUCUAUUUUCAAAAUACUUUAGCCCAUUAUCAGAACAUCCUUCAAUGGAGAACAACUCAAAUCCAUUCUAAAUAAGCACAUAUCAGACAUGUUCUUCAAAAGUUUUGUUUAAGUAAUAUAAGUGUUCCAGUAAUCUAAUUAAGUAAAAUAAAAAUAAACCCAUAACAUAUUCUUUGAUGAUGCAUUGCCUACUAAUGCAUCACAAUUUCCAUGACCUGAAAUAAGAAUGUUGAUGAAACAGGGUUAUCAGUUUAGCUGAGAAAUCCCACCGAUAUGCAAUGCUGCCUUUUUCUAAAAGGUAAAUUUUUCAAAACAAACAGAAUAAGUCAGUUUAGCAUGCUUUAAACCUUCAAGAUUACUAUUUUCCGAAAAUACAUCACGUUACAGUUUUAAAGCUCAUUAUGUCAUCGUACUCUUAUAAUUCACAAAUAGCAUGUUUACUAAGUAAGACACUGUGAAGGUCUUGCCUACACCAGCCAGAGAGACGUUGAAGAAAAUUCAAAAUAUAGCUAACAAAGAAAAUCCAAAAAAUGAUAAAUUGGGCCCAUACUGAAAUCAACAUAACAAAAACACAAUACAGGCAGUAACAGAACGACUCAAGCACAAACUGACUUAACAAGACAUGAGGGGAACUUAGAUAAUGGCUGAUCAGACCAUUAACACACUAAGGGAUAAUUAAACACACAAAACCCUAACAAAUACUGGUCAGUAUAUCACUAAAUCUACAAAGGAAAGAAAUUAAACUAAAAACCAAAUUUCCCCCUCCCUGGGAACAGGUCCAGAGGAAACUGGUAACUCAAAAGAAAGAAAUUAAUUUGGUAGAUUUAACAAAAUAUAAAGAACUGACACUUAAAAUUAACUAAAUGGGAGUCAAACUAAUAAAAACAAAUUUUAGAGAAAACGUUUCACUAAAUCUAGGAAACCAAACUGCAUCAAAAUCCUGCCUCAAUGUGAUGGUAAAGACUCCCUAAAAUUUAUGAAAUCCUUAUAUGUUUAGAUUUCACAAGUUAUAUUUUAAAGUCACUACACUAUCCUGAGCAAUCUCUAUUGUCAGACCAUAAAACAAAUUCUUAAGCCUACCAUAAAACCCCCUUUCACCUCUCGGAGGAACCGACUUGUAUGGCAGGAAAGAGAGCCAAUAAGGAUUUCAGGAGGAACUCCCAAUUCUUUUAAUACUUUAGUAGGCUUUGGCACUUAAAGCAUCAGAUAUGUUUUAGUCUCUUCUAAUUGUAAAAUUUGAACUUAAAAA